CCUACGGGAGGCAGCAGUGGGGAAUAUUGGACAAUGGGGGGAACCCUGAUCCAGCCAUGCCGCGUGUGUGAAGAAGGCCUUAUGGUUGUAAAGCACUUUAAGCGAGGAGGAGGCUACUUUAGUUAAUACCUAGAGAUAGCGGACGCUACUCGCAGAAUAAGCACCGGCUAACUCUGUGCCAGCAGCCGCGGUAAU
rnacentral:rRNA from 1 species